rnacentral:tRNA from 1 species
GCCUGGGUGGCUCAGUCGGCUGAGCGUCCAACUUUGGCUCAAGUCAUGAUCUCGCAGUUUGUGGGUUCAAGCCCCACAUCGGGCU